AUAUUUGGAUUUCAUGAAUACAAAUUAUUACUUUACUUAGUAAACAGAUCAUUCGAGUAUAAAAGUGUUGAUUGUUGCAAUUAUAGGAACAAUACGAAUGUCUUUUUGGUUUUACUGAUCUGCGUUAACUAUAUAAAUACAAGAAAUUAGCAAGUGAUUACAUUGUUUCGAUACUUUCGUUGUGUUGGAAGCAUUAGUAGUGAAAUGGAGAAUGUGAAGAUCUUGCUGAUAAUCUGCAUGAUUUACUUCAUCGGAUUUUCCUCUGUCGACGGAUACGAGAUUUGUACUGUAGAACAAGUAGGGGACGAAUGUAGCCUGGAGUGCGUGGUAGCCAAAUUAGGCUUGUGCAGUGCGGAACCGCCUUGUGAAUGUCCCAAUCUUCUGGAUCGACGAGGAAUAGUGAAAGAAAAGAAAAGAGGACCUAAAGUUUGGGGACGACAUAGUAAACAUUGGGGACGACAUAAAGUUCGGAAAAAUAUUAUACGAAAAUAAAGUUUCUGAAAGAUUUUCCUAUGUCGAAUUGAUAGUGUAAAACUGAAGAAGUUUUAUUUUAUAAUGCUUAAAAUUUUUUUUGUCUUCUUUAAUAAGAAUUUUUAAAUAUUUUAUAAAAUGACAAAACUCUUUUAAUUUGA